AAUUUAUCCAGAUUCUUUGAGAAAGAGGUAAGCUCAAUGUUUGUUUCAGUCUAAUUUUUUAGUAUUUUUUAAUUUCUUCGCAUCUACUAAAGAAUUUAAAUUUGAACUAUGUCUCAGGAGAAGCAUUUGAAUGAUUACAGAACAAGAUGGUUUUACAAAUACUUUUGAUCUCACCCAACUGUGUGGUAUUUAUAGUUUGCUCAUUUGUAUACAAUCGUCGGCUUUACAACCUUGUUUGCUCAACCCAAAAAAAGGUGGACAGAGACUGUCUGUUUCAUCACUCACCAAGCACACCCAACUUAAAUUUAAGGAGAACAACACAAGAAGACAUGAAGCACCUAAACGGAAGUGAAUAAUUAAUUAACCAUAUAAAACCAUGUCCUCACACGUUAAAGUUGUUUACAUUUCCUCAUAAAUGAAUUUGUACAAAUUCGAACAAGCUUGUCAGCAUGUACGAGUAGUAUUUGUGUUAGAAAAUACAAGAAAAAAAGAUCUCUUAAGUUCUCAACUUUUGCUUGAUCUUGUGUGUUGGACUGUUAGUGUUCAUAUGGCGCAGCCCAAAUAUUCUUGUCCUGUAAUUGAACACAAGAAUCUGUUGAGUUGAUGUGCAGCCUCCUGUAAUUGAACACAAGAAUCUGUUUAGUUGGUGGUCUGGUCAUGGAGCUCAAAUUUGAUCCAAUAUGAAUUAUGAUACGUAUUGCGUACUCUAAAUAUUUAUGUUUAAUUUUUGCAAAAAAAAACUAUAUAAGCCUUAGCUGCAGCUAUAGCUGCUACAGAACCCAUUCGCUAAAAUACCUAGACUGAGAUUUUGAACAUUGAUGGCAGUGAAAGGAAUCAGGCUCCAAAAACAGGGAGCGAGAAUAUGUGUGUUGUCUUGCAAGUCCUCCUUCAUGAACGAGUUGCUUCUUUUAUUUUUUUAAACCUCUAAAUAUCUAUUCAAAAUCAUACACAGUACUUCACUUUGUUCUUCAUGAUAUACAAUUCUCUAAGUCAAAGGAACCUUGUGCCUCCUGUGUUUCCAUGCUUUACUAUUGAAUAAUGAACAUAACUGAUUCGCAAUUAUUUAGAGAAUGUUGUAGGAUUUUCCUAUUCUACCUAAACUAAAGUCACCCCAUCCUUCACCUGUUCAAUUACUCCAUAUGCACAAUUUUUAUAACAGAUAUAUGCACAUUUUUAUAACAAAUAAUUUUGGCAUCAUCAAGUGUAAAAACUUGCAGUGUCGUACUGUCUGCUAACAAAUUGUAAUACAGUUAGUUGUUGUGGGAAAUGGUAAUAUUUGUUGUUGUUUGAGCUGUCUUCUUUAAAUAAUGAACAUUGCAUUGAAGUUUUGUAGCUCAGUAGGAUGCCAUUGCUUUAUUUCUUCUUGCCAAUCUUUUGAGUGUCUAUAACUGAUUGACGCAGCCAUCCUGAAUUUUGAGAUGCAUCUGUUACAAUGGAAUCCUAUGUCAUGUACUCCUGCAAUACUUUUAUUUACAAAUAACAAAUCACUACACGCUUUCCACUUCUUUACAAGUAACUUCUUUAUGUAUAUUUUUUUUGCAGUACUUAAUGAGAAAUGGAAAGGUCCAACCGAUACAAUUGAAUAGUUACCCAAAAGGUUAUAUUCUGCAACAUAAUCUCUCAAUCUGUUACGCAUCUACACAUAUACAAUUUCUUUUAGUGUACAUUCGUUCAUAUGAAUUAUUUCGUAGCUGCCAUGAUGUCGUGCUUCCAUUUUUCUGUUUAAUUACUGAAACCAUAGUUCCUUAUAUACGAAAUCUAGUUCAAAACAGCCGCUCUCGCGGUGUCCACGUCGCCCAGAUGUUUUCAGGUGUACGAUUUCCAAUCAAUGGUGAAGGCAAGGUCUUUCUCUCAUGGUCAAUGCAUAUUCUACUUAUCCAGUUCGGCGCCAUCGUUUUGUUCAGUGUUUGCUCGGCUUCGUGGUUUUGGGGUUCGUAUUCUUCGUUUGUGAGAUUCAUCCGAAACUAAAUACCCUUUUUUCCCUUAUAUUUUCUACCUGUUGCUGCGUAUUAAAGAACCUUAUCAAGUUCGACGUCAGUGCCUCCAAGCGUUUUCUCUAGAAACUCUUUCCCUAGCCCCUCACCCUUUUCUCCUCCUCUGUUAGCAGAAUCAACAAUGAGUGUAGUUUGUUUCGUUUUCUAAUUUCUCUACUAUUCGUUCCCCAAAUAUUUUAUUUUUAAAUCAGGAAAAAAGGGGUUACUUACCUCUUUUUGGUUUUCGAUUUUUGUUGUUCAGAUUCUAAUCCUCUUUUCCUUUUUAAUCUAGAAAAGGAGGGGUUGUCUACCUCUUUUGGUUUUUGAUUUUUGUUGUCUAGAUUCUAAUCAUGUUUUCCUGCAAAGAAAGUACGUGGUUGGGCAGCGAGCAAGUGGCGUUUCUAUACGCGGAAGUAAGUCCUAUCAUAGUGUCUGCUUGAAAGUGCCUUGCGAUUUGUUGCUUCGCUUAAUGACAUGCAACAAAACAACAAGGGGAUUAACAUUUUACUUUCAAUACUUUAGACCGGCACUCAUGUCCGUUUUUGUAUUCAAUAUUGAAGGCCAAUUUCUGGCUUCUCUUUGCAAUGUGCUUUGUUGGGAUUGAAUCUAGAAUCAUUGUUCUUAAUAAUCUAGCACAAAUAUGAACUACUGCAGGUGCUGCCGACACCACCAUCUUGCUCUUUAUCUUCAGUAUCUGCAACUUUUUUGGCUGACUGGGGGAGGUGUUCUUAUUCCUGAGUCCCUUAGCUGAGGGUGAAAGGGCUAUAAAGCCAAGAAGAGGAAGAAGGGGUGAAGAAUUCAGGUUUUCGGAAGCAAUACUGAAGACUAUUUUUUGGUUUCUCUUUGCAAUAUGCUCUAUUGGGAUUGGAUUUUCAAUCACUGUUAUUAAUAAUCUAACACAAAUAUGAGUUGUUGCAUGUCAUGUCGACACAACCAUCUCACUCUCUGCCUUCAGUUUUUGCAAUUUUUGGCUGCCUGGGAGGUGUUGUUGUUCCUGAGUAUCUUGUCAGGUAACAGGAUAUUUCAUAUUUACUCUUGGAAAUAAUUGCUUUUGUAUGGUGAACCAUGCACAAUUAAACAUAGAAAAAUCAUGUUCCUUUGGUGUGAUUGGGUGGAAUCCAACGAUAAGAUGUAUGUUACUGUCAAACUUUGUAUGAAUGAUUUAGUCUACAUUUUGGAAGUGUCAUUCAUAGUUGAUGUUAGAAAGUGUACCACGACUAUCGUCUGGCAGAUAUGUCGGCCGACCUGUAUGGAAGUGUUGUCUCUGAUAUAGAUAGAGAGGAUUAGGGGGAUCUCAAUCCCUCUGAUUGAGGAUCUAAUUCUAGUCUCAAUCCCUAUGAUUGAGGAUCUGAUUCUAGUCUAGGAUCUUUCCUUAGGUGUAGAAGUUUUCCUUUUACCUCUCACCUUCCUCCCCUAUAUAUACUUGUACAUGUAAUGUCUAUUAUCAUCAAUACAAACACACGCUUUCAACUCA
rnacentral:lncRNA from 1 species